rnacentral:tRNA from 1 species
AAGAUGGCAGAUUUAUGCGCCAGAUUUAAGCUCUGUUUAUGGUUUCACCUCUU